rnacentral:misc_RNA from 1 species
UAACAAGGUCUCCGUUGGUGAACCAGCGGAGGGAUCAUUAUAGAGUUUUCUAAACUCCCAACCCAUGUGAACUUACCUUUUGUUGCCUCGGCAGAAGUUAUAGGUCUUCUUAUAGCUGCUGCCGGUGGACCAUUAAACUCUUGUUAUUUUAUGUAAUCUGAGCGUCUUAUUUUAAUAAGUCAAAACUUUCAACAACGGAUCUCUUGGUUCUGGCAUCGAUGAAGAACGCAGCGAAAUGCGAUAAGUAAUGUGAAUUGCAGAAUUCAGUGAAUCAUCGAAUCUUUGAACGCACAUUGCGCCCAUUAGUAUUCUAGUGGGCAUGCCUGUUCGAGCGUCAUUUCAACCCUUAAGCCUAGCUUAGUGUUGGGAAUCUACUUCUUUAUAGUUGUAGUUCCUGAAAUACAACGGCGGAUUUGUAGUAUCCUCUGAGCGUAGUAAUUUUUUUCUCGCUUUUGUUAGGUGCUAUAACUCCCAGCCGCUAAACCCCCAAUUUUUUGUGGUUGACCUCGGAUCAGGUAGGAAUACCCGCUGAACUUAAGCAUAUCAAU